rnacentral:rRNA from 1 species
UACGGAGGGAGCUAGCGUUGUUCGGAAUUACUGGGCGUAAAGCGCGCGUAGGCGGCCAGAUAAGUCCGGUGUGAAAGUCAAAGGCUCAACCUUUGAAUGCCGCUGGAUACUGCCUGGCUUGAGUCCGGAAGGGGCGAGUGGAAUUCCUGGUGUAGCGGUGAAAUGCGCAGAUAUCGAGAGGAACACCUGCGGCGAAGGCGGGUUGCUGGGCUGACACUGACGCUGAGGCGCGAAAGCCAGGGGAGCGAACGGG